CACGUAGGGCGCAAGCGUUUGUCCGGAAUUAUUGGGCGUAAAGAGCUCGUAGGCGGUCUGUUGCGUCCGCUGUGAAAAACUCGGGGCUUAACCCCGAGCCUGCAGUGGAUACGGGCAGACUAGAGGUAGGUAGGGGAGAAUGAAUUCCCAGUGUAGAGGUGAAAUUCGUAGAGAUCCGGAGGAACACCAGUGGCGAAGGCGACACGCUGGGCCGUACCUGACACUGAGGAGCGAAAGCGUGGGGAGCGAACAGG
rnacentral:rRNA from 1 species